GCAUUUAUUAACAAUGCGCCAUUUUUAUUCACUUUAAUGGUUGUACAUGGAGAACGGUAAUGACAAUACAGUACAUAUCUUUAACAAUUAGCAUGUUAAACAAAAACAAACAAACAGAAAAUACUGCCCCUCUCAAAACUGGUAAAACUGUUUGCCCUUACACCAUCAACAGACACUGAGGGUUUCAAAUAUAAAACAAAAUUAACUGAGCUUGCAUAUUUAAUUGGACAUUAUUAAAAGAGUUCUGUUAUGGUGUUGUGAACUAUCAGUUAGCUAAAAAACAGUUUUAUCACACAAUAUUGUAUUGAAUGUUUGGUAACAGAUGCUAAAUGUGCCCUAUCCCAUACAGUUACCAUACUUUGGUGGGGAAAGGGUUUAACUUCUUAAAACUACAAUAGCACAACUGUCUUUAGCACCAACCUCAAACAAAAUAAUUUUAUAUUAAUCAGAAUGAUAUCCAACAAUGACAACAAUUACCUAAGAAAUAGCACCAUUCAAAAGCACAAUCAGAGCACCAACAGAAGAACAUCCUAGUAGUUACUUCAAUAGAAAUCAGUUCCGUCAAAGAGAGUGGACACACUGCAAAGGCUGGUUCUGAGUGUGAGCUCAGUAGAUAGAAGAGAGCCUUUACUGUACAUGCAGCAUUUUAGAGACUGAAGUUAACUGGUUGACCAUUAAAUGCCCAGUUGCAAUGUCUUGCUAUCAGUCAAACUCAAGGUCAUGAGUCAUGACCCAAGGCCAAAGGGUAUGUGAAAGUUGUUGUUAUCAAUCCAAGGUUGGAAGUGAUUCACUCAGUGAUGGGUACUGUGUUUCCACUCACUGUACAAUAAUAGACUCCUCAAAACUACCCAAACAUACAGCGCUGUGGAAAAGUAUUGCUCUUUUCUCAGAUUUACGCUAAUUUUACAUACUUUUCUUCAUUUACUGUUGUCAGAUGUUCAUCCAAAAUGUAAUUUAAUAAAAUACACCUGAAUGCACAAAUAACACAAAAUGUUUAUGCUUUGUUAAUUUGUUGGCUGAACAAAGUUAUGCAAUGCCUAUGCAAUGUGAAAAAGUGAUGGCCGCCUUAUACUCAAUGACUGGUUGUGUCACCUUUAGAUGCAUUGUCUUAUAGGUCCUGCCUGAAUAUCUAUUUUGGGUUAAGGUCUGAACAUUGCCUGGGCCAUUCCAAAAUGUAAAAGUUGUUUUUUUUCAGCCAUUUUGAUAUAGACUUGCUUGUGUAUUUUAGAAUAUGGUCUUGCUGCAUGACCCAGGUAUGCUCAGAUUAAUUGUUUUUUGCCAGACAAAAUGGGACCCAUGUCAUUACAAUAUGACACUUUUGACUGGUCCAUAGAACCUUAUUUCAGGAAUCUUGACGAGACCUAACAGGUGCUUCCAUAUGCAUUUGGUAAACUUGAGUUUACUUUUUGGGUCCUGUUAUGUCUGACGAAAAGAAGAAAAACACUGCAUUCCACAUCAUUCACCACAGAGAAAUGGUAAUAUGAUAUUUUGAGGAUGGUUUGCUCCCUCAGCAGCUGGACAAUUAAUUGAAGGAACCCUGAAUGUUCUAUAUCAAGGAAUGUUUAAGGAGAAGGUUACGUCACCUGUCCCUGAAAUGAAGCUGAAUCCCGACUGGGUCAGGCAGCAGACAAAUGAAGCUGAAUCCCGGCUGGGUCAGGCAGCAGACAAAUGAAGCUGAAUCCCGGCUGGGUCAGGCAGCAGACCAAUGAAGCUGAAUCCCGGCUGGGUCAGGCAGCAGACAAAUGAAGCUGAAUCCCGGCUGGGUCAGGCAGCAGACAAAUGAAGCUGAAUCCCGGCUGGGUCAGGCAGCAGACCAAUGAAGCUGAAUCCCGGCUGGGUCAGGCAGCAGACCAAUGAAGCUGAAUCCCGACUGGGUCAGGCAGCAGACCAAUGAAGCUGAAUCCCGGCUGGGUCAGGCAGCAGACCAAUGAAGCUGAAUCCCGACUGGGUCAGGCAGCAGACAAAUGAAGCUGAAUCCCGACUGGGUCAGGCAGUAGACCAAUGAAGCUGAAUCCCGGCUGGGUCAGGCAGCAGACCAAUGAAGCUGAAU
ensembl:lncRNA